UUCGUAGGCGGUGUGGCAAGUUGGGAGUGAAAUCUCUGGGCUUAACCCAGAGGCUGCUUCCAAAACUGCUGUGCUUGAGUGUGGGAGAGGCGCGUGGAAUUGCAGGUGUAGCGGUGAAAUGCGUAGAUAUCUGCAGGAACACCCGUGGCGAAAGCGGCGCGCUGGACCACUACUGACGCUGAGGAACGAAAGCUAGGGGAGCAAACAGGAUUAGAUACCCUGGUACGUCCUAGCCCUAAACGAUCGGGACUUGGGGUGCCGCACGUUCGUGCGUCGUCCCGGAGCUAACGCGUUAAGUCCCGCGCCGUGGGGAGUACGGUCGCAAGACUGAA
rnacentral:rRNA from 1 species